GCCCCGUCCCACCCCAGCCCUCGAGGCCUUCCGCCGAGUCUGGGUUGCGGAAGUUCGGAUCCGCGGGGUUGGGCGAGUGGAGAGCUGCGGGGGCUUUGCUGGUGGUGGGAGGACCGGAUGGCCUGGCUGUUUAAGGAGGCCCUCCUGAGAAGUGAUACAUCAGUGUCCAUUCAGCUUUGCUAGCUCAGUCUCUGAGGGGCUAAAGUUAUAUUUGGCCAAGAAAGGGACACACCUGGUGCCAUGGGUAGGAAUCCUUACCAGCCUUGGGGCCACAGCUAUCUCAGCUCAGAAGGAAUCACUUUCAGCUCCUACAAGCCUCCCUCUGGUCCCAGCAAUGCGGUCUUUCAUGGCAGUUCACAACAUGGCGGUUUGCUUUCUUUCCAUCUGUUUUAAAGGCUCAGCGGAUCAGGUAUUUGGGGUGAUUUGAAUCAACUUUUGCACAACGUUUUUAAACCAACGGAGGCCUGGGCUUUGAGACGUGAGAUUGGCUGCCCGGCUGCAUUGUGUGCUCACUUCCUGGUUCCUGGUGGCAUUCUGUGUAUUUGUGGCUGCUGAAUAAGGGACUCGGAGUAAAACUGGGGGUUUCUGUACUGGCUUCCUCCCUUGAAACCAAGAUUCUCUCCCUUCAGAACUCAGCUGUUCUAUUGCUGGUCUGCAGGGACCCAAUGUUCUACUUGCUGCCGGAGUCUAAGACUUGGUGCUGCGUUGUGCCCAAACCUGUGCUUCAUAAAUGCCAUUUUGUCCCAUAAUUCACCUCGAGUUUUUAUUUAAAUAUUUAAUGAUGCACAAAUUGGUGUAAGUGCCUUCUCAGGGAAUCUUGGGAAAGUACAGGGAUGUAAUCAAAUGGUUUGCAAAUUGUACUUAUUUAUUUAUAGCUCUAAUUUGAAAAGAAGGACCAGAGUUAUUAAAGAGGAUAUUCGCAUUUCACAGACACCUUAUCCUAAGGAAUGAGGGGUAAUCAUUCUCAAGAAGAGGGGGAAAUGCCAGGUCAUUUCUUAGAGUUAUUGCUUCUUAUCCUUCCUGUGUUGUAAUGGUUGUUUGUGUGGGCAAUUAAAAAAGCUAUUUCUUCUGCUGUCUGCUAAAUAUGUCUUCAUCUGCCUAAUUCUGCUGUGGGGUCUCAGUCUGACCUAAUGGUUAGUUAUUUUCAUGCCAAAAAUCCACAUCCAAGUUCUUCUUCUUCUUUUUUUUUUUUUUUUUGUACCAAAAAGAUGAAGAAGAUGAAUAGAGAGGAGUGGUAGGCAUUCUGGUCCACAAUCCACCUUGAUUUCAUGGAAAGGCUUGGGAAAUAUAAGGCUGAUAUGGGCUGCACAGGGCUACAUUAUGAUUUUCAUGGGCCUCAGGCAGUCUUGCCUUCAUGGGCAAAAAAUAUGAAAGCUUAUGUUUUACAACUGUGUUGAUGGAAUGACAAAUACCUUAUCUAUUAAAACACUUUUGUGGACCUCUAAAAGUAUUGUGGUCCCUAGGUACCAUGUCUCUUACACCUAAUGAAUGUUAGCCCUGUAAAUGGACAAUGGGAAAGGAAGGUAGCUUGACUCCCUUUUUUCAAGAUCUAAAGAUACCUGGAUUCCAAUCUGUUCUCAACAGUGCCUAAAUUGGGAGCUUUUGACCACAAAUAAGGUGAAUGAAUGAUCUUC